UGGUAGCAAUGAGACUUCGGCGGACAUGGCUCCCAGCGUGCCAGCGGCAGAACCCAAGUAUCCUAAAGGCAUCCGGGCUGUGCUGCUGGGGCCUCCCGGGGCCGGUAAAGGCACCCAGGCACCCAGAUUGGCUGAAAACUUCUGUGUCUGCCAUUUGGCUACUGGGGACAUGCUGAGGGCCAUGGUGGCUUCUGGCUCAGAGCUAGGAAAAAAGCUGAAGGCAACUAUGGAUGCUGGGAAACUGGUGAGUGAUGAAAUGGUAGUGGAACUCAUUGAGAAGAAUAUGGAGACCCCCUUGUGCAAAAAUGGUUUUCUUCUGGAUGGCUCCCUCGGACUGUGAGGCAGGCAGAAAUGCUCGAUGACCUCAUGGAGAAGCGGAAAGAGAAGCUUGAUUCUGUGAUUGAAUUCAGCAUCCCAGACUCUCUGCUGAUCCGAAGAAUCACAGGAAGGCUGAUUCACCCCAAGAGUGGCCGUUACUACCAUGAGGAGUUCAACCCUCCAAAAGAGCCCAUGAAAGAUGACAUCACUGGGGAACCCUUGAUUCGUCGAUCAGAUGAUAAUGAGAAGGCCUUGAAAAUCCGCCUGCAAGCUUACCACACUCAAACCACCCCACUCAUAGAGUACUACAGGAAACGGGGGAUCCACUCUGCUAUCGAUGCAUCCCAGACCCCUGAUGUCAUGUUCGCAAGCAUCCUAGCAGCCUUCUCCAAAGCCACAUCCUAGUAUCAGAACGCCAGGUGAGACUACACCACUGCUCAUCACCCUGCGGCGUGAUCCCUGCUUUUAGGUGCUGGGCAGAAGGGAAGGGUGGUCAGGGUGAGGAUGGUGAGGGAGGGCUGGUGAGGGGCUCAAAGGAAUAGUUGGAACAACAGCAGUGUUACUGUAGUGUGGCAGUUUCUUUUAUACAUAGGUGGGAGUUUUUAAAGUGUAAGGGAAAAAUUAAUUUUUUAAAAAAUACCAUGCUUGGAGGGUGGGGGUAGAAAUAGAGAGAUACAGUAUUAUUUCUAAGGAAUCAGGUUUUCAUUUAC